UACGGAGGGUGCGAGCGUUGUCCGGAAUCACUGGGCGUAAAGGGCGCGUAGGCGGCCUGAUAAGUAGGGGGUGAAAUCCUGCGGCUUAACCGCAGGGCUGCCUUCUAAACUGUCAGGCUUGAGCACAGUAGAGGCAGGUGGAAUUCCCGGUGUAGCGGUGGAAUGCGCAGAUAUCGGGAGGAACACCCGUAGCGAAGGCGGUUCUCUGGGCCAAUACUGACGCUGAGAAGCGAAAGCAUGGGGAGCGAACAGG
rnacentral:rRNA from 1 species